UAAAAUUUCAGCUAUUAUUAGUAUCGUGGGUACCUUGCCAUGGGACAUUUAUUCUACUAUUGAUCCUUUUAAAUGAAAUAAAAGGUUUAUGAAAGUAUAAUAUUCAUCCAAAGAAUGGGCAUGAAUCAUAAAUGCAUAGCCAGGUGGAAAUAUCCGUGUAAACACCAUUUGUUUUGAGGAACAGAGUGUUACCAUUGUCUGAGCCCUCCAGCUAGAAGUCAGGAACACAUUUGUGGUUAAGGAAGUGGAGUCUUGUUGCACUGAGGAAUAAUGCUCAGUGGGUGGCCUUAAAAACACUUUCAGGAGCUGGGUAAUGUUGGCUCAUGUCUGUAAUCCUAGGUCCUUAGGAGGCUGACACCUGAGAAUCCUCAUUUGAAGCCAGUCUGGACAGGAAAUUUUCUGAGGCUCUUAUUUAAUUGACUACCAAACGAAAGUUGGAAGUGGAGCUGCGGCUCAAGCAGUAGAAUCUGAAGGUUUCUGUUUAUUCCCACAGCUCUUGUGUUAAUCCUAACCCUGAAGAUGUUGGUCUUAGUCUAUGGAGCAUUUAUGAGUUCGCUCAGUGUCCUAAUAAAAGAAGCCCAAGUAGACGACUCAUCCCUUCCACCAUGUGAAGGACCAGCUAGAAGCACUAAAGCACCUCUGUAACAACACUGAAUCUAACAGCACCUUGAUCUUGGACUCUGGGCCUCCAAAAAUGGAAGUAUGAUCAGUUUCGGU